AAUGCCAGUAUCAAUACCAACACCAGUGUCGAAUCAAUUAAUACCAACACUGAAUACCAACACUAAUGAAUAGCUAAACCAGGAUAGACACCAACAAAUACCAACACUAAAGACCAAAACUAAUAAAUACCAAUACAAGUAUCAAUACCGAUAAAUACCAACACCAAUAAAAACCAAUACCAAUAAAUACCAAUACCAGUACCAACACCAAUAUCAAUACCAUUACCAAUUCAACACCAUUAUUGGUAUUCAGUUGUAAAAGGUGAAAUUCUUAGAUUUUCCAAAGACUAGCUACUGCGAAAGCAUUUGUCAAGGACGUUUUCAUUAAUCAAGAACGAAAGUCAGGGAUCGAAGAUGAUCAGAUAGCGCCGUAGUCUUAACCAUAAACUAUGCUGACUAGGGAUGGGGCGACGCCUCAUGUAAAUGACAGGCCCAGCACCUUACGAGGUAUCAAAGGUUUUGGGUU
rfam:Metschnikowia bicuspidata var. bicuspidata NRRL YB-4993 METBIscaffold_2, whole genome shotgun sequence.